GAGCACCUCAAUAGCAGUCAUUCCUGCUCAUCUUUUGCAGCCUCUUGGAAAGCUGUUAUUCUGGGGUGGCGGUAAUGCAGCUGGCAAUACCAUUCGGGUUGGCAUAAUUCCGUGGUUGGUAGUAACAAACAGAGUGAGUGAAUUUGCCAUCCGCAAGUUGUCAGUGGUUGCCAUUGCACACUAAAUCGUUACCAAACAUCUUAGUUGCAAGAUUUAGGCAGUCUACAGUCUCAGGCGGCCCUCACCAUCGGGAGCAAUUCAGGAGCAGAUGCAUUCGCUAGUCUAUGCUUUAUCUACAAAACCUGCUCAUGUGUGCUUUAAAUUUUUUGAUUUUUUUCAGAGAAAGAUAUA